UAUAAUGCAGUCGAGCGAACUGAUUAGAAGCUUGCUUCUAUGACGUUAGCGGCGGACGGGUGAGUAACACGUGGGCAACCUGCCUGUAAGACUGGGAUAACUUCGGGAAACCGAAGCUAAUACCGGAUAGGAUCUUCUCCUUCAUGGGAGAUGAUUGAAAGAUGGUUUCGGCUAUCACUUACAGAUGGGCCCGCGGUGCAUUAGCUAGUUGGUGAGGUAACGGCUCACCAAGGCAACGAUGCAUAGCCGACCUGAGAGGGUGAUCGGCCACACUGGGACUGAGACACGGCCCAGACUCCUACGGGAGGCAGCAGUAGGGAAUCUUCCGCAAUGGACGAAAGUCUGACGGAGCAACGCCGCGUGAGUGAUGAAGGCUUUCGGGUCGUAAAACUCUGUUGUUAGGGAAGAACAAGUACAAGAGUAACUGCUUGUACCUUGACGGUACCUAACCAGAAAGCCACGGCUAACUACGUGCCAGCAGCCGCGGUAAUACGUAGGUGGCAAGCGUUAUCCGGAAUUAUUGGGCGUAAAGCGCGCGCAGGCGGUUUCUUAAGUCUGAUGUGAAAGCCCACGGCUCAACCGUGGAGGGUCAUUGGAAACUGGGGAACUUGAGUGCAGAAGAGAAAAGCGGAAUUCCACGUGUAGCGGUGAAAUGCGUAGAGAUGUGGAGGAACACCAGUGGCGAAGGCGGCUUUUUGGUCUGUAACUGACGCUGAGGCGCGA
rnacentral:rRNA from 2 species